rnacentral:rRNA from 1 species
UACGUAGGGUGCGAGCGUUGUCCGGAAUUAUUGGGCGUAAAGGGCUCGUAGGCGGUUUGUCGCGUCGGGAGUGAAAACCUCGGGCUUAACUCGGGGCUUGCUUUCGAUACGGGCAGACUGGAGUACUGCAGGGGAGACUGGAAUUCCUGGUGUAGCGGUGAAAUGCGCAGAUAUCAGGAGGAACACCGGUGGCGAAGGCGGAUCUCUGGGCCUUGCCUGACGCUGAGGCGCGAAAGCUAGGGGAGCGAACAGG